AGUGUUGGGAUCUCCUGGGAUGAGUGUUGGGAUCUCCUGGAUGAGCCCCCGGCCUCGCUGGGCCAGACCAGACGAGCCCUGGGCUACCACGGACCACCCUGGAUCAACCUGGGGCUGAUGGGACGGGCUUCGGGUCAGCCUGGACGAGCCUUGGGAUGUGCUGGAUGAGCCUUGGGAUGUGCUGGACGAGCCUUGGGCGACUCCGGACCACGCUGGACGUGCCACAGGUUCCCUCUGGACGAGCCUUGGGUCCCUCUGGAUGAGCCUUGGGCCACCCUGGCCAAGGCUUGGGCUACUCUGGACCACGCUGGACGUGCCUCAGGUCCCUCUGGACGAGCCUUGGGUGACUCUGGAUCACGCUGGAUGUGCCUCAGGUCCCACUGGAGAAGCCCUGGGUGACUCUGGAUCACGCUGGAUGUGCCUCAGGUCCCUCUGGACGAGCCUUGGACCACCCUGGACGUGCCUCAGGUCCCUCUGGAGAAGCCUUGGGUGACUGGAUCACCCUGGAUGUGCCUCAGGUCCCACCAGACAAGCCUUAGACCACACUGGACCACGUUGGAUGUGCCUGAAGUCCCUCUGGAAGCACCUUGGACCACCCUGGCCAAGGCUUG
rnacentral:lncRNA from 1 species